GGGGAAUUUUCCGCAAUGGGCGAAAGCCUGACGGAGCAACGCCGCGUGAGGGAUGAAGGCCUCUGGGCUGUAAACCUCUUUUCUCAAGGAAGAAGAACUGACGGUACUUGAGGAAUAAGCCACGGCUAAUUCCGUGCCAGCAGCCGCGGUAAUACGGGAGUGGCAAGCGUUAUCCGGAAUUAUUGGGCGUAAAGCGUCCGCAGGCGGUCUUGAAAGUCUGUUGUUAAAGCGUGGAGCUUAACUCCAUUUCAGCAAUGGAAACUUCAAGACUAGAGUGUGGUAGGGGCAGAGGGAAUUCCCGGUGUAGCGGUGAAAUGCGUAGAUAUCGGGAAGAACACCAGUGGCGAAGGCGCUCUGCUGGGCCAUAACUGACGCUCAUGGACGAAAGCCAGGGGAGCGAAAGGGAUUAGAUACCCCUGUAGUC
rnacentral:rRNA from 1 species